UACGUAGGGAGCAAGCGUUGUCCGGAAUCAUUGGGCGUAAAGCGCGCGUAGGUGGCCCGGUAAGUCCGCUCUGAAAGUCACAGGCUCAACCUGUGAAAGCGGGUGGAUACUGCCGGGCUAGAGUCCGGAAGAGGCGAGUGGAAUUCCUGGUGUAGCGGUGGAAUGCGCAGAUAUCAGGAGGAACACCAACGGCGAAGGCAGUUCGCUGGGACGGUACUGACACUGAGGCGCGAAAGCGUGGGGAGCGAACAGG
rnacentral:rRNA from 1 species